rnacentral:rRNA from 1 species
GACGAACGCUGGCGGCGUGCUUAACACAUGCAAGUGGAGCGACGAACCGGGGCUUGCCCCGGGGCAGAGCCGCGAACGGGUGAGUAACACGUGGGUAACCCACCCCGAUGAUUGGGACAACCCGGGGAAACUCGGGCUAAUACCAAAUGUGCUCGGCGACCAUGAGGUCUCCAAGUAAAGAUAGCUUCGGCCUUCGCAUCGGGACGGGCCCGCGGCCCAUUAGCUUGUUGGUGAGGUAACGGCUCACCAAGGCUGCGAUGGGUAGCUGGUCUGAGAGGACGAUCAGCCACACUGGGACUGAGACACGGCCCAGACUCCUACGGGAGGCAGCAGUGGGGAAUCUUGCGCAAUGCGCGAAAGCGUGACGCAGCAACGCCGCGUGGGGGAAGACGGCCU